UGGAUCGAUGAUGACUUAAAGAUUUAUCUAAUUUAAAUCUGAACAAAAUGAGUGACCAAAACACUUCUGUACCACUUCUGUGAGCUGAGGUCCA
rnacentral:snoRNA from 1 species